GAUGAAGAACGUAGCAAAAUGCGAUACGUAAUGUGAAUUGCAGAAUUCAGUGAAUCAUCGAAUCUUUGAACGCACAUUGCGCCCCUUGGUAUUCCGAGGGGCAUGCCUGUUCGAGCGUCAUUAUAACCCCUCAAGCUCGGCUUGGUGUUGGGGCCUGCCGCACGGGCAGCCCUUAAAAUCAGUGGCGGUGCCAUCUGGCUCUAAGCGUAGUAAUUCUUCUCGCUAUAGAGUCCCGGUGGAUGCUUGCCAUUAACCCCCAAUUUCAAUGGUUGACCUCGGAUCAGGUAGGGAUACCCGCUGAACUUAAGCAUAUCAAUAAGCGGAGGA
rnacentral:misc_RNA from 1 species